rnacentral:snoRNA from 1 species
AUCCAUCGCUAAGUCAAGGCUCCUUUCGCGCGCCCUCAUGCGCACCUUUCUCCGUGAAAAUAGCCUGUUACAGCUUUGGUACAUCAAGCCGCGCUCGCCCUCCCUCUUGGGGGAGGGUUCCCGACACUUGCAUCCGUCUUGGAAGCUUUCGUCACAGAGUGCAACGCGUGUUUCGUUUGAGUUGAGGUCUGCUCUUUCACAUCCAUAGCAUUUCUCUUAGUAAUGUUCCAUACACUU